GAUGAACGCUGGCGGCGUGCUUAACACAUGCAAGUCGAACGGUGAACACGGAGCUUGCUCUGUGGGAUCAGUGGCGAACGGGUGAGUAACACGUGAGCAACCUGCCCCUGACUCUGGGAUAAGCGCUGGAAACGGCGUCUAAUACUGGAUAUGUGACGUGACCGCAUGGUCUGCGUUUGGAAAGAUUUUUCGGUUGGGGAUGGGCUCGCGGCCUAUCAGCUUGUUGGUGAGGUAAUGGCUCACCAAGGCGUCGACGGGUAGCCGGCCCGAGAGGGUGACCGGCCACACUGGGACUGAGACACGGCCCAGACUCCUACGGGAGGCAGCAGUGGGGAAUAUUGCACAAUGGGCGCAAGCCUGAUGCAGCAACGCCGCGUGAGGGAUGACGGCCUUCGGGUUGUAAACCUCUUUUAGCAGGGAAGAAGCGAAAGUGACGGUACCUGCAGAAAAAGCGCCGGCUAACUACGUG
rnacentral:rRNA from 1 species